UACGAAGGGGGCUAGCGUUGCUCGGAAUCACUGGGCGUAAAGCGCACGUAGGCGGAUUGUUAAGUCGGGGGUGAAAUCCUGGAGCUCAACUCCAGAACUGCCUUCGAUACUGGCGAUCUUGAGUCCGGGAGAGGUGAGUGGAACUCCGAGUGUAGAGGUGAAAUUCGUAGAUAUUCGGAAGAACACCAGUGGCGAAGGCGGCUCACUGGUCCGGUACUGACGCUGAUGUGCGAAAGCGUGGGAGCGAAGAGG
rnacentral:rRNA from 1 species